rnacentral:rRNA from 1 species
CCCGGUGGUCAUCGCAAGGUUGAUACACCCGAUCCCAUCCCGAACUCGGCCGUGAAACACCUCCGCGCCCAUGGUACUGUGUCUUAAGGCACGGGAGAGUAGGUCGCCGCCGGGC